GAGCAAAUGAGCUUUGGAAGACGUGCACACAGUCACCGCUCAAACCUCAGUUGAAGCUGUUGGAAAAUCCUCGGCUAUACUCGAGCUCACACAAAGCAAAAAGGGGAAUUCCAAACACGAGAAAAGAUUUAAGCAGAUCACCAAGAUAACCACACAAACACCUAUUCUGUCAUAUUUAUACCUGUAAACCCACAUCAUCUCCAUGUACCUGACUCCUUCUCAAUAAACUCUCAAACUGCAGCAUUGGAUUUGCCCAUUCCUUCUGACCGAGGAAGACUCAGUUGACGAGCAAUCCAUAAUCAGCCGCAGACGCACACGGUCUCUUACAGUAGUCUUGAUUUGACUUCCUCUGCUUGGUGUGGCUAAGAGUCCUCCUAAAAGAGACCCGAGGUCUGGUUUCAUCUAAAAAGCAGCGUGAACCAACCAUCAUGUUGAAGAUCUUAAAGCUUCAGCUCUAUCUGCUAAUGUGGUGUCAAGCUGCAGAGACUUUAACAGAUCAACUAACAGAUUUGGGUCAAAAUGUGACUAUAAACUGUGAUAUUGAUGCAAAGGUGGCCACAUGGAUUUUGCUGAAUUUACCAAAUCUUCCGGUUGUGAUAUUACAGUCAUUUUUAAACCCACCAUCAACAUUUUACUACAACAAAAACUUCAGGCUCAAAUAUUCAGUGCAACCUAAACAUCGUCUUUUCAUAAAUAACAUCACUAUUAAUGAGUUAGGACUUUAUUAUUGCAUGGACACAGAAACAGAGGUAAAAUUCAGCAAUGGCAUCAUACUACACAUCAUCAUACACACUGACCAAACUAUACCUGCAAAGUUACCACAGUGUCAGAAUCGCACUGAAGUGUUGCUAAAUGAGCAGACAACAUGGAUGAAACAUUUUGCUCUAAGUUGCAUGAUCAGUGUUUUACUGAUUAUUGGAUGAAAGGAUUUACACAAGCUCCAGUCUUGAUCCAGAAAACCUGAGAAGAGAUGAUACUGAUCCUCAGAGGACCUCAGAUGAUGCUAACCCUGAAUCAACAACAGAACUAACAAAUAUUGGCACAAGUGUGACUGCAUCUUAUAAUAAUUGCUGUUAAUAAUGUUUAUUGUCUGGCUGACUACGACACAUAUUAUUUUUUUCUGAAAAAUCCUGUCAAACGUGCACAAAUUGACAGUCACAACUUAUAUUGUAUCGUAAUUUUCUGUAAAGUUGCUUUGUAACGAUUUGUAUUGUAAAAAGUGCUAUACAUAUAAACUUGAAUUGAAUUGAAGUAUGUCAAAUAUUAAAAAUUAAAGGAUUGCAAUGUGAAAGAUUACUAUUGUGUAGGCUACAUAAAUAUAAAAUGCCUACAUGUCAUAAUAUAUAAUCAUUAUGAUUGCAUGUAUCAGAAUUAGCCCAGCUAACAGGGAACGUUCCCAGAACAUUCACUAACGUUCUUUAAAAGUUGUGUAUAUGUUAGUACAAAACAUUAUUAAAAUAAUGUUUUUGAAACGUUCUUAUAACAUAGUUAAUGUUCUUGUAAGGUUGAUAGAAAACGUUCUUAGAACAAUGUUCUCUGAACAUCUUUAGGAUGUUAUUUGUACGCGACCUAUAAGUGCAUUUCUGCCACUUAUCUCUCAAAUAGACCAUUAACAUUAUAUCUACAAUCUCAAUUAGGAGUGUCAAUGGUCCAUUUGGGAGAUAGGUUGAAGUAAUGCACUUAUAAGUCCUACAAUAUUUUUUUAUAGAUUCUAUUACCAUUGCCAAGCAUUGACAGACUGCAACUCCUGAAGCUAAACAUCAUAAUGUGUGUUCUACUGAAGAAACAAAGUCACCGUUCUUUAACGUUCUUAUAACUUUGUUAAUGUUCUUGUAAGGUUGAUAGAAAACGUUCUUAGAACUAUGUUCUCUGAACAUCUUUAGGAUGUUAUUUGUACUCGAAUGUUUUCAUAAUGUUGAGAAAACAUUUUUAGAACAACAUUCUUAGAACGUUCAACUGUAUUCAUUUAAUUUCAAAAUUAAUUAAUUGCUAAAUGUUAUUAUGAUAUUAUCCUAAAACAUUCUGAUAACAGCAUGACUUAUAGUUGCAGGCUACUUUAUGAAUGUUAUCAUAAUGUGGGGAGAAACUUCUUUCUUAGAGGCAAUUUAAAACUUAUGAAUAAAAUAAAAUAGGAUAGAAUAGAAUAUAGAAAAAAAUGUAUUUAAAUAUGAAACUACAACCUUGAGUAGGUGGUGGUUAAUCACCUACUCAUGUAAUUUAUAAUUAGUAAAUAUAUAUAUUUUAUAAUUUAUUAAAGUCACUUAGGCCUAUUAAGUGAAUGCCAUACACAUUAAAAUAGUGAAAUUUGCUAAAUGGAGUUUGUUAAUUUAAGCAGAACUCAAUCUAAAUGAAUUACAAUAAAUUAAUUUAAUCUACCAUACAAUCUAUGAUUUUUACGUAUAAAUGUCUGACCACAAAAUAUUUAAAAUAAAAAUGAGCAUAAUUCAUGAUUUCAAACAUGUUUAAAGCAUAGACAUAAAAACAUGGAUGUAGUGUCCGUGACGUCACCCGUAGACUCCCGAAGAGUGUUUUUGAAGCUCAAAGAGUGCAGCGUGGGCCGUCGCCAUCUUGGCAGCGCGCCACCGCACAACUCUCGCGGACAAUCAAAAAUGGGCAAAAAGGCCGGAGGAUUUGCCAGUUGCGUGUGCUGUAUGAUAAUCUGUGUGAACAAAUUUCCCGUUAAGGGACAACAAAUUAUCUAUCUAUCUAUCUAUCUAUCUAUCUAUCUAUCUAUCUAUCUAAAAAAUUCACCCCCCUCACAGUUGUCAUGAAGGGCAAAAUGUAUUUAUUAAGGGCAAACUUAUUUUUUGCACCAGGCUGUAAACAUGUUUUUUUCGGCUGUAAAAAGGCCAUUUUAACAUGGGGAGUCUAUGGGAUUGACUCCCUUCUGCAGCCCGCCUCAAGCGGCCAGUCGAUGAAUUGCAGUUUUAGUCACUUCCUUGUUGGUUUCACGAGAGAGAGCGGGAGGUUGCCUCUCGAUUUAAAGUGAUUAAUUUUACAAAAAAAAAAUAUUAUACGGGUGUUUUUCAAAAAGCGUGCACAUUUUUUAGUCAGUCACGCGAGCUCAUCCCCCGAAGGGACUGUGGCUCACUGAAUCAAACUGAUCACAGCAGGACUAACGUUACUCGCAGCACGGUCACGGAAAAUAACAGGAAGGCAUUUCGAGCUUCUGUAUUCUCAUUUAAAUCAAAAUUUAACUUUUGUGUUUUGUCGUCAACUUUAUCUGAAGAUUAACCAGCUUUGUUAUCAUAAUAUCUGUAACUCUAGUUAAGGUUAGCACAGAAGCAAGGAGCUAACGCACCAUUACAUCAAAGUUGUCAACGGCAAGUGUUGAAAAUGCAGUGUUAUACACAACAGUUUGUCAGUGGUAAAUUAAGAAAAAUUAACGAGUCAAUCGUUUGUUCGUUAUCUGGCUCGGAUCAGUGUUCAUCUUCAGUUCUGUCUUCACAGCAGUUCAGUCAGUCUACUGUUUGAGUACAUGUAUUACUCCAGGAUAUUUGCUUUGUUUUAACUCAGAGGGAGUGUCAGCCACAUUAAAAAACUUAACAGUUUAAGUAAUUUGUGGAUUAAUGCUUAUUGGUGAUGCAAACCGUUUAAAACGAUUCAGUUUGAUUUGGUGAACUGGUUCAAGAAGAUCCGGUUACAUCGAGUGAUUCAUUCGCGAACCGGAUAUCACAAACUGCUUUGUUUUGAACUCUCUCACAACAGACACGGAAAAGAAGACAAUGAUGAAUAAAGUCGUAGUUUUUGCUAUUGUUGGACUAAAAUGUAUUUUCAAUGCUUCAAGAAAUUCUAACGGACCCUCUGAUGUCACAUGGACUACUUUGAUGAUGUUUUUCUUACCUUUCUGGACAUGGACAGUAUACCGUACACACAGCUUCAGUGGAGGGACUGAGAGCUCUCGGACUAAAUCUAAAAUAUCUUAAACUGUGUUCUGAAGAUAAACUGAGGUCUUACUGGUUUGGAACGACAUGAUUCAAUUCAAUUCAAUUCAAGUUUAUUUGUAUAGCGUAGUAGCUUAUGGUGGUGACUGUCAGUUUGUCCACGUUUGACAGGAUUUUUAGAAAAAAAUUAAUACAUGAGGGUGAGUCAUUAAUUACACAAUUUAGAUUUUUGGGUGUACUAACUCUUUAACUAUUAACCUGCACCCCGACACGCACGUCCUCAACUCCCCUCAACUCGCACGUGUCAGUGUUUACGAAUAGAUUAACUGAAACGGGACAAAUUUUAUCUAGACAAACUAUUUAUUAUUAUAAAGAUCUAAGCCUCAAGCAUCGACGACAGAUCGCUGUUUUUCAAUGGAAAGCUUAUAAAGACUGUAUUUGCUAGAUUUGUGUAAGCAGUAACGUUACACAUUAAAACAUGAAUAAUGGAAACGCAGUAACUUACAUACCAGAUCCGUCGUAAUAACGAGUCAUAAACACAUCCACAGCUGUAAAUCCCGGUUUAGUUAGGAGGGUCCACUGAGCGACAUCUCAUGGAGCACGUUUAAGCAAUAACGUUGUAAAAGCAAUAACGUUGUAAUAUGAAUCAUAAUUCCUUUGUUUAUAUUUCAGUUCUUCAGGGACAGAACUGUUUGUGUCCAAUGUGGAAUAACUCACACUAAGAAACUGCGACUUGGUAGUAAAAAAAAAAUGGCAUGGUUUUGCAGCGUACAGUGUCACAAACAGAAUGAGACGAUCCACAAAGAAAAAAGUGAAAGUUAGGCGAAAGAUUAUUUAUUUGAAUUCUGGCGCUCUCUCAUGACGGCUCAUGAUGCACCUGUCAGCUGAUGGAGGCGGAACUUAUAGCGAUUGCCUUUUUCUUUGUUUGUUUUAUUUUUCAACAGUUUUAAUAUAUGUGAGAGUUUGUUUUAUGUUGAAUGUGCCUGUAUCUGCAUGAUUACCAUCUGUUUGAGUGCGAAUCAGCUCGGUAUUACUGUGUAUUCACAGCUAUCACAACUGUAGAUAAACGCCAUCGAUAGAGGGUUUUCACGGACGCUUCAUCAAUCCCGAAGUCGGCCAUUUUGGAGGCACAGAACGUAAACAAUGCCACUGAAUGGUUUUGCAAAUUUGAUUGAUUAUUGCUGCUAAAAAAAAGGUCGAGUUCUGGUCUGUACUAAUGGGUCACAUCGGUUAAAAACAUUUAGAGUUCUGUAAAACAUUAAAGAGAAGAGAGCAAACAAAGUGAUUAAAAAAGGCGUUUGUGGUUUAGAGAGGUACAGUUACAGCAUGUGUAAAUAAAGCAUCGACUAUGGCUUAAAUUUUGACGUACUUAACUAUGGCUACAUUCACACUGUUAGUCCAAAUACAAUUAUCUUUGUAUCCGAUUGGAAUCUGAUCUAAAAUACGUGAAAACCCUCUAUAUGAAUAGAGAGUGGUUUAUUGACUUUAUGGCGCAUUGGUAUUAUUACGAUCUCUAUAACUGCCCAUCAGCACGUAUUUUCAUUGUAAAUGCUGCAUUUCUUGCAAUCUCAGGAUGUUCUGUAAUUGGCAUACAAAGUUAAAUCUUUUUUAUUUUAUUUAUUUAUUUUUCUUACUCAAAUUAUUCUUAUGGUAUUUUUCUAAUGCUCAAAUAAAUCACUUAUAUGUAUACUAUGUUUCUGUAUACUGUUCUGUAUUCCGAUCUUGUCCCAAAAUGGCCAGGGUCAACACAUGAUGCUUGGGUUCUUUCCCAGAGUGGCCUCACUGGUUUAUUCAAAGAAAAUUAUGUUCACCCUGGAUGUCACCUGCUGGGAGACUCGGGUUACACUUUAAAACACUGGCUUCUCACCCCUAACAGAAGACCUCAAGGAGAACAGCAGCUCAAUUGUAACAGAGCACACAAAGUAACAAGAGCUGUGGUGGAGAGAGCCAUUGGACAGCUGAAGAGAAGACUCCAUGUCCUUCAUGGAGAGAUUCGACAUUCACCUGAGCGUGCUUGUCGCAUUAUUAUGGCUUGUGGCAUUUUGCACAAUAUUUUCAAAGCUCGUAACCUCCCAUUGCUUGAUGAUGAUGAUGAAAAUGACGAUGGUGAUGAUGACAGUGAUGAAUGAUGAUGACGAUACCCCCGAACACACAUUACAAAGCAUUUCAGGGAGAGCAUCACUAAAGGACUGCUUUGCUAACUCACAUUUUGGGUAAGGGAUUGGCCGUUCCAAGUAUCUCCUCUACUAUGUCGCCAAUCUCAGACAGGUUUACAUGGAGGUCCCCCACCUGUUUGACCAGAACUCAGCUGCUGACCACAUGGAGACAAUCAUUUAACAUAAAAUGGAUUAAUAAGCUAAAAUAAAAUGUACCAGUUUGUAAGGUCCAGGCACUCGGCCCAAGGAAGGUAUCCGGUGCUGGAUGAAGGCUUCCUGCGUGUUCUGUCUUUCAGCGCGUAAAGUUAUUCAGUUUAGGUUAAGCUCAAAUCUGACUCCAUUUUAUUAUUUAAUCUGACUCCAUUUUCUUAUCUAAUCUGACUCCAUUUUAGUAUGACCUCGAAUUUAGGUUGAAAGGCAAAUUGGUUGUUUGUUGGUCUCUAAUUAUUAUUGUUAUUCUUCUGAGAUUUGAUUAUUCUAAUUUAACUCUUUACUUUAUUUUACUCGUUCAUUAGGAAUCUAUGUCGCUCAGGGUGCCCCACGACGGCCGUUCUUCUACGUGUGCCCCACGAUCACAAACUCGCCAGUCUCAACAGUAGUCAGAGGUUUAUGUCUAAUCCAUUUAGUCCCCCUCAGCUACCCAUGUACAACUUAGUUAAAGCUCAAAACAAUAAUCAGCGGUUCUGCUAGCACUAUCUGUCUAGCCCCCCCGACAGUCAUAUAACUUCAUACAACUUAAUUAAAGCUGAGACAAUAACCAGCGGUUAUGACCAGUACUGUUACUAGCCCCCCAUAGUUAAUGCAACUGAGUACAACUUAACUAAAGUCAAGCGGUUUAGCCAGAAAUCUAAAACCUCACCUGAUGCGCCCCAUGCUCCAUCUAGUCUGAGUUUUAGUAUGCACUUAACCCUGGACGCAGAUUUGCGGAAACAUAGCCUUCACUUAAUCUCCUUGAGAAAAUAGUUUCAGAGUCAGUCAGAGUAAAUCAAAUGUAACAAUUUAUUAUCAGUCAGGUAAGGAUUAUGCCAAUUACAUAGCCAAUUCAUAGAUAUCAAAUCAAUACUAGACACCAAAUUCUCAAAGAUGAAUCUAAUAGUAAAAGAUGCAUACCUGACUCUUAGAAAAAUACAUAGUAUGAAGUGUGUGGACACACUUCAUGCUAUGGGCUCAUUCCAGCUACAGAAGGCCCUGAUCCUUUUGCUGCAAUCGUUUAAAUACCUCACACAAACAUCCCCCGAGAUGAAGACAGAAACUAACAAUUGGAAUUUGCAUUAGGUCAGGUCCCAGACCAGGGUAGUUUACACCUCAAUGGGAACAGAAGGUAAUUUACAUGGAGGACCCCAGGAAGGGGCACUCCCUCCCAUUACAGAUAUACAGAAUAUCUCUUAAUUCUUAGGAAAUGAAUUAUCUUUUAAUCUACUUUUGUAAGACAGACACCAUUGUACCAGUUGCACUGAGACAAUUCAAAUGACACCAAACAUGACUGUAAAUAUCACUUGCAUUAAUAUAUACCAUUAUAUUCUACUAUUGACCAUUCUGAGUGAGCUAUGUGAAGGGAAGGAAUGGAAUGAGUAGGAACUGUUGCAUAUGUGAGAGAGGCGUUUCCUGCAUUUUCUCUCAGUGAGAUGUGAGAACAGAUGUCUGUAUGUUAAUGCACUGUGUGUCCUUAGUAUAUCUCAGAAGAUCAAAGUGUCUGAAGUUUCUGUAAUUCUUACACAGUUGCUCGCAUGCUUUCUUUAUAUGCUGCAAUUUCCUUGUGUGUUGUUGCCAACACAUUGUAUCACCUUUUCUCAGAAACCUCUGCUGAACGUCUUGUCCGAGAAAAUGCUGCAUUUACUGUCAGAACAAUCUGAUGCCAUGCAUUUUCCCUUCCUUGUUAAAGACGGAAUGAAUUUUCCUCUUAUCACAUCCUUCCAUUUAAGGACCGACUUCACUAGAAGAUUUUCUUCCUUGGACCAGUUUGGUUUUCUUUUUGCAUCCAUUUUUUUACAAUUUGCAACUUUUAUCUUUCCUUUAUAUACGGCUGUGAGUGCAAUUUUGAAUUAUGUGAUU